GCCGGAGUGGCGGAAUGGCAGACGCGCCGGAUUCAAAAUCCGGUCCUCGCAAGAGGGUGUGGGUUCAAGUCCCACCUCCGGUA
rnacentral:tRNA from 1 species